rnacentral:rRNA from 1 species
CCUACGGGAGGCAGCAGUGAGGAAUAUUGGUCAAUGGCCGGAAGGCUGAACCAGCCAUGCCGCGUGAAGGUCAGUGCCCUAUGGGCGUUAAACUUCUUUUGUGCGGGAGCAAUAAUGGUCACGUGUGGCCAGACGAGAGUACCGUACGAAUAAGCAUCGGCUAACUCCGUGCCAGCAGCCGCGGUAAUACGGGGGAUGCAAGCGUUAUCCGGAUUUAUUGGGUUUAAAGGGUGCGUAGGCUGUGAGGUAAGUCAGCGGUGAAAUGCCCCCGCUCAACGGGGUGAAGUGCCAUUGAUACUGCCAUGCUGGAAUGCGGAUGCCGUGGGAGGAAUGUGUGGGGUAGCGGUGAAAUGCAUAGAUAUCACACAGAACACCGAUUGCGAAGGCAUCUCACGAAUCCGCGAUUGACGCUGAUGCACGAAAGCGUGGGUAUCAAACAGGAUUAGAUACCCCAGUAGUC